rnacentral:rRNA from 1 species
UACAGAGGUCCCGAGCGUUGUUCGGAUUCACUGGGCGUAAAGGGCGCGCAGGUGGCGUGGUAAGUCGGAUGUGAAAGCUCGGAGCUCAACUCCGAAAUGGCAUUGGAAACUACCUUGCUCGAGGGUUGGAGGGGGGACUGGAAUACUUGGUGUAGCAGUGAAAUGCGUAGAUAUCAAGUGGAACACCAGUGGCGAAGGCGAGUCCCUGGACAACUCCUGACACUGAGGCACGAAAGCUAGGGGAGCAAACAGG